AACGAACGCUGGCGGCAUGCCUAACACAUGCAAGUCGAACGAAGGCUUCGGCCUUAGUGGCGCACGGGUGCGUAACGCGUGGGAAUCUGCCCUUUGCUUCGGAAUAACAGUUAGAAAUGACUGCUAAUACCGGAUGAUGUCGCAAGACCAAAGAUUUAUCGGCAAAGGAUGAGCCCGCGUAGGAUUAGCUAGUUGGUGGGGUAAAGGCCUACCAAGGCGACGAUCCUUAGCUGGUCUGAGAGGAUGAUCAGCCACACUGGGACUGAGACACGGCCCAGACUCCUACGGGAGGCAGCAGUGGGGAAUAUUGGAAAAUGGGCGAAAGCCUGAUCCAGCAAUGCCGCGUGAGUGAUGAAGGCCUUAGGGUUGUAAAGCUCUUUUACCCGGGAUGAUAAUGACAGUACCGGGAGAAUAAGCACCGGCUAACUCCGUG
rnacentral:rRNA from 1 species